GGCUCAGGACGAACGCUGGCGGCGUGCUUAACACAUGCAAGUCGAACGGAAAGGCCCUGCUUUUGUGGGGUGCUCGAGUGGCGAACGGGUGAGUAACACGUGAGUAACCUGCCCUUGACUUUGGGAUAACUUCAGGAAACUGGGGCUAAUACCAGAUAGGAGCUCCUGCUGCAUGGUGGGGGUUGGAAAGUUUCGGCGGUUGGGGAUGGACUCGCGGCUUAUCAGCUUGUUGGUGGGGUAGUGGCUUACCAAGGCUUUGACGGGUAGCCGGCCUGAGAGGGUGACCGGCCACAUUGGGACUGAGAUACGGCCCAGACUCCUACGGGAGGCAGCAGUGGGGAAUAUUGCACAAUGGGCGGAAGCCUGAUGCAGCAACGCCGCGUGCGGGAUGACGGCCUUCGGGUUGUAAACCGCUUUCGCCUGUGACGAAGCGUGAGUGACGGUAAUGGGUAAAGAAGCACCGGCUAACUACGUGCCAGCAGCCGCGGUGAUACGUAGGGUGCGAGCGUUGUCCGGAUUUAUUGGGCGUAAAGGGCUCGUAGGUGGUUGAUCGCGUCGGAAGUGUAAUCUUGGGGCUUAACCCUGAGCGUGCUUUCGAUACGGGUUGACUUGAGGAAGGUAGGGGAGAAUGGAAUUCCUGGUGGAGCGGUGGAAUGCGCAGAUAUCAG
rnacentral:rRNA from 1 species